UGCGUAGGCGGUUUAGCAAGUCUGGCGUGAAACCUACACCGCUUAACGGGUAGUUGUCGUUGGAAACUGCUAGGCUAGAGGACAGGAGAGGAGAGCGGAAUUCCUGGUGUAACGGUGGAAUGUGCAGAUAUCAGGAAGAACACCGGUGGCGAAGGCGGCUCUCUGGACUGUUCCUGACGCUGAGGCACGAAAGCUAGGGGAGCGAACG
rnacentral:rRNA from 1 species